GGUUCCCUUGAAGUGGAUUCAUCAGUCCCUGUUCUCUGGACCCCUGCUGUUGGAAGCCCCAGGAAAAGCAAGCACAAAAUCACCUUUAAUUAGCAGGAAAGGAGCCUGCCUGCCUGAUAGAGGCAGAUAGCGCCUUGGAAACAAGAAACAGAAAAAUGUAAGGCAGGACCAGGUUCACGGGGAAAGAACUAGGAAAUGAAAAAGAAUAAUUAUCCUGUUUUAACAUAAUGUUGUUAAUCUGUAUUGCCCAUUAUCAUCUGGAGUGUCUUGCCUAUUGAAGUAUGCGAGCUGCAGAACUGCUCUUGGCUCCAGCAAUGUCGUCGCCAACGGAAGGGACUGGCUCACCAUCCAUCAUCAUAAUUAGUUUGUCAUAAUUUUCUGCCCUUCUUGGCUCUGCGGUGAAAAGAUAGAAGAGGCAGUUAAAGUUACUCAGGAAUUGUUCCCCAAAUUUCCUCCCCGUUCUUUAUGGGGAACAGAUAGCUGUAUUUCUGCCCUAUUUAUUUUAUGUUUGGCCUGUGAUAAUGAAGUAUAUUUCACCUGGAAGUAUAUGGCUUUAAUUUCCAUGUUCUACUCGGAAACAUCUUGCUGUUUCUUGUUGUUUCCAUGGCACGGUAUAUACAAAGGGAGCCCAGGCUUCUUUCUGAACUCAAGCCAUCACCCACCAGAAGUCAUUCUAGUUUCCAGACCAACGUUCGGACCUCAUGAGCUGACUGCUUAAUCACACAGGCUGCAUCUACCAUCCGGGCAGGCGUCGGUUGCUUGAGGAGAACCACAGAGUGUGACCGGCCUCCACCGGAGUCACUGCUUCCCACUGCUGUCCUGAGGCAUCCUGGGAAGAAUUUGCCUGAGCCAGUCCAGAAAUGGCCGUGUGUGGAGACAUCAUGCCGCAGUCAAACCGCAUUUCCCGCCAUCAGGCUUUCAUUAUCUCGAGGAUGGUACCCGUGAAGAGACUGCCUUGAGAGGAGAGGACCAAGUACCUGUGACCACUUCAGAACCAAGCCCAUACAACUUUAAAAAUAUUGAAAAUAUUCUCCACAACUGCACUAACCCAAAAGUGGAAAGGGGAGUAAUGUUCCAGACAGGGCUGAGAAAUUAGAUAUUAAAUAAAGUAGAAUACUAUUCAACUAUAUAGGUGAAAGGUUAAUAAAACAGGUACUUGUCACUCCCUGUUUUUCUGUAUGCUUAACAAAAACUAUUGAAAUCUUGAGAACUGUUUGCUAAUCUUGUUCCCAGAAUGUACUGUCCCCAACUGCCAAAUUGCAGAAUGUAUUCCCUCACCCGGUUGCAGGCAAACCGCCCACUCGCCCUGAGCCGUCAAUGAACUUCCCUCCCUGCCCUCUCCAAGGAAAGUAUAUGAGCUCUGCUUAAGCUGUUCUCGGGGCUCUCUGCUCUAUUCAAGUGAGCUCUGAGCCCCAGCAUGCUGG